rnacentral:rRNA from 1 species
AUUGAACGCUGGCGGCAUGCUUUACACAUGCAAGUCGAACGGUAACAGGGUGCUUGCACCGCUGACGAGUGGCGAACGGGUGAGUAAUGCGUCGGAACGUGCCGUGUAGUGGGGGAUAACGCAGCGAAAGUUGUGCUAAUACCGCAUACGUACUGAGGUAGAAAGUGGGGGACCUUCGGGCCUCACGCUAUUCGAGCGGCCGACGUCUGAUUAGCUAGUAGGUGAGGUAAAGGCUCACCUAGGCGACGAUCAGUAGCGGGUCUGGGAGGAUGAUCCGCCACACUGGGACUGAGACACGGCCCAGACUCCUACGGGAGGCAGCAGUGGGGAAUUUUGGACAAUGGGCGCAAGCCUGAUCCAGCCAUGUCGCGUGUCUGAAGAAGGCCUUCGGGUUGUAAAGGACUUUUGUCCGGGAGCAAAUACCCAGUGCUAAUAACGCUGGGGGCUGAGAGUACCGGAAGAAUAAGCACCGGCUAACUACGUGCCAGCCGCCGCCGUAA